CCUACGGGUGGCAGCAGUGAGGAAUAUUGGUCAAUGGACGAGAGUCUGAACCAGCCAAGUAGCGUGAAGGAUGACUGCCCUAUGGGUUGUAAACUUCUUUUAUAUGGGAAUAAAAUGUUCCACGUGUGGGAUUUUGUAUGUACCAUAUGAAUAAGGAUCGGCUAACUCCGUGCCAGCAGCCGCGGUAAUACGGAGGAUCCGAGCGUUAUCCGGAUUUAUUGGGUUUAAAGGGUGCGUAGGUGGAUUGUUAAGUCAGUUGUGAAAGUUUGCGGCUCAACCGUAAAAUUGCAGUUGAAACUGGCAGUCUUGAGUACAGUAGAGGUGGGCGGAAUUCGUGGUGUAGCGGUGAAAUGCUUAGAUAUCACGAAGAACUCCGAUUGCGAAGGCAGUUCACUGGACCACAACUGACACUGAGGCACGAAAGUGUGGGUAUCAAACAGGAUUAGAUACCCGUGUAGUC
rnacentral:rRNA from 1 species